GUGAAUCAUCAAAUCUUUGAACGCAAAUUGCACUCUCCGGGUUUCCGGGGGAGGAUGCCUGGUUGAGGGUCAGCCUAAAAAAAAUCGACAUUGUUGCUGUUGGAUGGUGACUGUCGUCGGAGAUGGGUUAUCUUAAAUCUCGUUUUAGACGACUUAAAAAUUUUUUUUACGAUUCUAAGAAUGUUUCUAAGAUUUUUCUUGUAGUUUUAGGUUAUCAAAUGUAUUAUUAGACGUGGCCGUCAU
rnacentral:misc_RNA from 1 species